rnacentral:rRNA from 1 species
AUUGAACGCUGGCGGCAUGCUUUACACAUGCAAGUCGAACGGUAACAGGGUGCUUGCACCGCUGACGAGUGGCGAACGGGUGAGUAAUGCGUCGGAACGUGCCGAGUAGUGGGGGAUAACGCAGCGAAAGUUGCGCUAAUACCGCAUACGUACUGAGGUAGAAAGUGGGGGACCUUCGGGCCUCACGCUAUUCGAGCGGCCGACGUCUGAUUAGCUAGUUGGUGAGGUAAAGGCUCACCAAGGCGACGAUCCGUAGCUGGUCUGAGAGGACGACCAGCCACACUGGAACUGAGACACGGUCCAGAAUCCUACGGGAGGCAGCAGUGGGGAAUUUUGGACAAUGGGCGAAAGCCUGAUCCAGCCAUUCCGCGUGAGUGAAGAAGGCCUUCGGGUUGUAAAGCUCUUUCGCAAGAGAAGAAAACUUACCCUCUAACAUAGGGUGAGGUUGACGGUAUCUUGAUAAGAAGCACCGGCUAACUACGUGCCAGCCGCCGCCGUAA